rnacentral:sRNA from 2 species
GCGCGACCUCCGCCGAGUCCGGUGCGCCCACGCGGCCCACUGGAGCCGGGGACCCACCGAACCUCGGGGUGAAUCGGCCCAACCGCCCUUCGGGGCAAGGGCCGUAGGGCACACCUUCCGGAUCCGUCCGCCCGAACCCGUCAGCUAACUCGGUAGGCGGAGUACGGAAGGAGUA